ACUCAUUUGCCUAGCUAACAGACGCUGCUUGCCCAACUAGAGGAAAAACAACAACCUUCCCAAGUUAAGUGAGCUAGCUCACUCAGCUUCUGGAACUCUCGGGAAAAAACCCGAAAUACUUGCCCAACGAGCCCCUCCACUCACCGAAUGAGAGACAAAAUAACAAGCUCCCUAAGCUAAGCGAGCUGCCUUGCCCAACCUUUGGAGCUCACUGCUAGAACUCCCCUACACUCGCCCAACUUGCCAAUUAUGCUCGCCCAGCCGGACUGCAUAAUUCUGCAACACUAAAAUUGUAAAAUUAACACUUGUAAACCACCCAUGACCUCUACUAACCACUUUUACCAACUUCUAACACUCCUAGAUUGAAUUAUAAACUAUUUUAGACCUAAACAAAAACGUAUAACCUAUCUUAAACAAAUAAUCCACUAAUUACAAUAAUGCAUUCACUAAAAAACAACUAGAUUAUCAACUUAGAGAUCAAAAUUGAAAUCUACAUGUCCUAGCUCAUUUUUAAGUAGUUUAGGGACUCUAGCAAGUCAGAAUUGAGUUACCAAUAACCUCUAAACUGACCAAUUUUUCCCAUAACCUAUAACUCAAAAUCUCACCACUCCAAACCCUCAAAAAUGCUCUUCAAACCAAAUAAACCACCCCCAAAGUAUUACUACCUCUUUUCUAAAAUAGAUUUCAACCAUUUUUCAACUCUAACAACCCUUAAUUCACAUCUAAACAGAUUCUAAGAUUUCAUCUUCUCCUUCUAGCCCUUAACUUAAGAACUCACACACCAAAACUGCAAGAUUGAUCAAUAAUAAUUACAACUCAACCUAGUUUAAUUCCCUUCCACAUUAAAUCAAAUUCAACACCAUCAAACACCUCAACCACACAAUUUAUCAUAUAUUUAGAGUUUCAUACAAAAUAAUUCAACAUCAACAAUCAUCAUGUGAUCAAAUUCACUUACUCAACAAAAAAAAAUUCACAUUACUAACAUUUUAAUCAUAAACACCUAAUAUCUACAACUACACAUCCUAAGCACUAUCAAUUCAUACUUUAUAAAUUUUACAUAGAACAAGAACUAGCUUCCCUUACUUACAUUGAAACUAACAAGCUCUAGAACGUACACCCUUUGCUUCUUGCAGAAGAAACUCUUGAAACACCUAUAAAUCACCAAAUUGUGAUAGGAAAGAGUCCUUAGGACCACAUAUUAACAAAUAACCAAGAAAGGAACAUCAUUGAUACAUGCAAUAGGGGUUUCCUAAGCAUGAU
rnacentral:lncRNA from 1 species